CUCCCCCGAAGCCUCCUCGCCCCUCCCUUGGCCCGGCGCGCCCUCCCUCUCCCCAGGCGGGCGUUGCCGCCGCCGCCGCCGCCGCCGCCCGCGCCGCGUUGGCCGGGCCGAGGCCGCCCUAGGUCCGGUCCCUCCCCCGGCGGCCUGGCGCCUCCCGCCCCCUCCCCGCCGCGGUGACUCCGGAGCGGGGGCGGAGGCUGCGCUGAGGCGGAGGCGGCCCGGCUGCUGCUGCUCCUGCUGCUCCCGCCGCCGCCGCCGCCGCCGCCCAGGCGGCCAGCCGCAGCGCCCGGAGCAGGCUGGGCCCGCCGCCCCGCGCUCCGGCCCCGGGGGCUGCCCAGGAAUCUGUGGAGUUGGACUGAGGGGAAUGAACCGUGAGGGAGCUCCCGGGAAGAGUCCGGAGGAGAUGUACAUUCAGCAGAAAGUUCGGGUCUUGCUCAUGCUGAGGAAGAUGGGAUCAAAUCUGACAGCCAGUGAGGAAGAAUUCCUGCGGACGUAUGCAGGGGUAGUGAGCAGCCAGCUGAGCCAGCUCCCAUCACACUCCAUCGACCAGGGUGCAGAGGACGUGGUCAUGGCGUUUUCCAGGUCGGAGACAGAAGACAGGCGGCAAUAGCUACAGCGCAACCUGGAACCCACUGGAAGUCAACGAGGGCCAUGCAAGCUCUGGGAAGCUGGCUGCCUGCACCGGUCCCCUGCCCUUCCCUCCUCCCCACUCUUCAUGCCCCUAACUCCCUCUCCCCUGCCCUGGGAAGCACCUCCCAGCCCACUACCCAGCUGGCUGUGUUAGCGAGGGGGAGACCAGUGGUGCACAUGGGAUUGGCUCAAAGGGAUGGACUUUGUAAUUGGCUACAGGGAGAAAUCUUUUUAUUUUUUAAAACCUGACCAAUGGAAACCUUUUCUUUUUAUUUCUGCCUCUUUCACCACCUCAUCCCUUUUCUUGCUGUCUGGGCAUAGAACUUCCCAGGAAGCUCUCCUAUGCCUUGGUGCUUUAUUUAGGUCAUUUUUAGCAAUGUGAAAAGGUUUUGAUUGGCUGCCUAAAACUGGAAACAACUCUUGAUUGGCUGGUGAAAAGAAAACGCUUCUCUCUUUGAUUGGUUUCAGGUAUUCUGCUGAUCUCAACAGCUUGAUUCUAAGUAAAGAGAAUAGGGGUUGGGGCAUUGGCUGUUACAUUUGACUUGAAAAAAAAAAUACAAAACUAAGUGUGCUUUGCGAUAUUUAUUACACAAAGAGCUGCUGCUGCUUUUAAAUUUUAUUUUUGAAUUCGAUUGGCUUAUGGUCGAUGUGUUUGUUUUCCUGCUGGCUCUAGUGGCCAUAGAUUUACCCCCAAAAAACUACAUCCACAAAACCCUACCACCUCUGCUGCUUGAAAUCUCUGGUCCCAGGGGAAGCCAACUCAAGAAUCUAUUUACAUUAAUAAUUACACCUGCCCUCCCUGGAGCUGGAAAUAUAAAAGGCUCCUGGGCGAGGCCACAGCUGCAAACCAGGACCCAGGACAGACUGGAUAUCAGCUCUGUAAGAGUCAGAGUUAAGCGGUCACCAAGAGCUGAGGUGUGUGAGUGUGUGCCCGUGUGCCCGUGUCAUGUACAUGCACACACUCACACGUGCCACCCGCCACUCUUUGUAGGGUUAUGAUGUUGCUGGAAAAAAUACAGGGCCCCCCUGCCCCUAAAACCUUGUUUGUUCUGCAGCCUGAAAGCUUCUGGCUUGGAGGGAGCUUCUCUGUCCUUGUUUAGAGACUGCUGCUGCUUCUAAGUAGGGAAAAAGAAGCCCCAGGAGGCCCCUAGGCCCUUCCCUCAGGCACUUGGGAGGAGAUGGGGCUCAACUCACAGGUCCUGAGGAUGCCUUUGUGCACCCCCUUUUCUUUCCCCUCCCGUGGGUUUCUACUGCCCCAACCUACACUGACCAUCUUGCAGUCCCGAGUGUCCUCCUCCCACUCACCCCCCACAGUUCUCCCAGCCCCUUUUAAAAGCCUACAUGUUGAAAAGAAAGUCAUCAACCAUAAUUGCCAAACGUUCUGCCAGCUGGGGAGGGCCAGUCUGGCAGGCCCCUACCAAGGCCUUCUCCUAGCUUGGCAGGUAGGGCCGGCCUCAGCUCCCAUUUGUUAAUUCUCCACCUGGGCCCCUGAGCCAGGGGCUGGGGUGGAGGAAGCAGGGAAUCCUUAGUGCCAAAUCCCUGCAGGCAGUGUCAAAACAGAAGCUCCCACCCACCCUUCCCUCCCUCGAGGGGCCCCUGCACCCCCAUCUCUCCUGCCUGCCUUCCCGUGGCAUGCACAGGACUGUACUUUGAAGCAGGUAAACAGGAAACGUUGCCACGUUCAUAUGAAGCUUUUCUUGGGAAAGAGGAAAUCUUAUCUCUGUUCCCAAACAAACCCCAAGUUUUUAAUAAGGGGUCUAGCUCUAACCCUGUGCCCAGGGAGUGGAUGAGACUUUCUGAGCCAAACAGGACUUACUGCCCAAGGGCUUGGGGCCAACCGACAGCCACCAAGGCAUGAGGGGGCAGUUGCAGAGUGCCAACGGUUUAAUGACCUCCAGCAUGUGCAGAAAGGGCCCUCGGAGCAUUCUGCUGCCUGUGACCAAUUAGGAGUGCUAAUGAGGUCGCCUGAUCUGCCGUCCCAAUUCCUUUAAGGUUAGUUAGUCUGUACAAUAUAAACCUUCACAGCCACACCAAACAGCCCCCAGACCCAGCCAGGCUGCCUGGCCAUGUUGCCAAUGGCUGGUGGACAAAGGACCCAGCAGGGAGGAGAUGGUGGGGGUGUCCCAUAAGGCUGGGCACCCCUCCCUUUGGUGGAUACCUUGGUAGUGGGUCCGUAGCAAUGUCUUCCCUACAAAGGACCAGCCCCCAACUCCAGUGUCAUCAGCCGGAGUCCCAAUCGUUGGGCAAAAGGUGAACAACAGCCCCUGACACCCCGGGGUCCCCGUCCUGGCUUCUGUCACGGUGUUGCCCGCUGUGCUCCUGGCCAGCCUGCAGCGCCCAUCGAGGGUCCGAGCCCAGGUGGCGUAGCCAUGUGUUUGUCUGCGGCCCCAGGCCUGUCAAGCUAACAUGCAUCUCUCUUGUGUCCCCGAUGAUAACUCUGACCUGUCUAUCUUCUGAAGAAGAAAAGUGAAAGUGUUUCUGUGGUUUAAUCUUUUAACUAAAAAUGUAACUCUUGGGGAAAAAAUAACAAUAAAGGUUUUUAAUAGCUUGUCAUGGA
rnacentral:lncRNA from 1 species